rnacentral:misc_RNA from 1 species
GAUCACUUAUGGGACAGGUUUAGCGUAAGUUUAGUUCACAUCUAUAAUGCUAUACGAUGUUUAGCAUUUUAGUAUUAAUAUAUGAUGAAUAUAUACGUGUGAAUGUAAAUGUAUUUCUGGUACUCCCUGUUAAGAUCCCACAUUAGUUUGGGAUAAGGAUAAUGUGCCUCUUAUAUGGCCUUAGGCACUCAUCCCCGCUUGAGCUAGCUUUUGGGAGUGAGUUAGGCCCAUUUUCUUAAGAGUUUUUUUCAAGCUUAAAAUAGUUAAUUUGCAUGACACUUGCUUGCAACUUAUUUGCAAUUAUUUCCCAUUUGUACAGUUCAUUGGAGACUUAAAACAUGAAUCUUGUGGUUUAUAAGUUCAGGCUUAAUCUAUGUUAUGAAUAUUGCUGCAUUCAACUCUUAUGUCUGGAAUAAUCUGAAAAGCCUUGUAACCUUGCCUAACUGAUCCCACAGUCUGAUAAUCUUAAUUUUAUUUGAGAAUGUGAAACUUUCUUCUUCUUUUGAAGCUUUAUGAUUUGGCUAAUAUCUUUGGAGAGAAAAAGUAUUAGUGGAAUGAUAAAGAUUUUAUCAGGUUGUUUUUGUUUGUUAUUGUAUCAACAAAAUUAUCGGUGCUCUAUUUUCAAUUUCGGACUGUGAUUGGAGAAUUAGGCCCACCACAUUUAUGGGUUGUAGUUUCAAAAUUGUCAACAUUCUCAUAGAAUAAUGAUGUUUAUUGGCAUGGUUCUAAAGAAAACUUUUGUGGAAGUAAAGGAAAGAAAAAAAAAAUUCUGAGCAGUGAGCAGAGAGUUAAAUUUUAUGAUUUUUUAAGGGGUUUCAUUAGAAGGCCUAUUAAGCAUAUUGGACUAAAUGACGGAGCCAAGCCCUCUCCAUCUCAUAAAUUCCACCUGACCCCCAUCCUAUGAGAUUUGAACUUAAGAUUAUGGAGGUGUUCCUUGGAGACUAGACAUUCAAUAGUACAACCUUCCAAAUUCUUAUAUUCUGGAGUGACCUUGGGAACUUGGAGGAAGAGAUAUUUAUAAUGCCUAUACUCAGGCUUAACUUCAUGUUUUUUAUACUUAUCUUUUGUUACUGUUCAUGUUUUAUAUACACUUUGCUUCACUUAAUUGAUAGAUGUUUUAGUAUUUUUCAUGCUUGACAUUUAUGUGAUGAUGUAAAAGUUUAAGAUAAUAAUGAAUUUUGUGUGAGCUCCAGCUAAUGAUUUGGAUUCUGACAACAUUAAUGAGGCAUGGAGAAUCAAUGAUACAGACAAUAGUUUCUUAACACGACCUUUUCGGAUUAAAUAUGCGAGGCAAGAUAUUUGUUUAUCUGUCAUGGUCUUGUUCAAUCUCUCUCUCAGUAAAUAUA